rnacentral:rRNA from 1 species
UACAGAGGUCUCAAGCGUUGUUCGGAUUCAUUGGGCGUAAAGGGUGCGUAGGCGGCGCGGUAAGUCGGGUGUGAAAUCUCGGGGCUUAACUCCGAAACUGCAUUCGAUACUGCCGUGCUUGAGGACUGGAGAGGAGACUGGAAUUCACGGUGUAGCAGUGAAAUGCGUAGAUAUCGUGAGGAACACCAGAGGCGAAGGCGGCUACCUGGACAAUUGCUGACGCUCAGGCACGAAAGCGUGGGGAGCAAAAGGG